GGGAUCCUCAAUUCCCAACAGAUCAGGAACUUUGGGAUCGUCCUGGAAUGAGAACUUUGGGGUCUCUAUGGGUCGAGGACUUUGGGAUCAGGAAUUCCCAACGGAUCAGGAACUUUGGGAUCUCUAUGGACUGAGAACUUUGGGAUCCCCAAUUCCCAGCAGGUUGAGAACUUUGGGAUCCUUCUGGAAUGAGAACUUUGGGAUCUCCAUAAACUGAGAACUUUGGGAUCCUCAAUUCCCAACGAAUCUAGAACUUUGGGAUCCCCGAUUUCCAGUGGAUCCAGAACUUUGGGAUCUCCAUGGACUGAGAACUUUGGGAUCCACAAUUCCCAAUGGAGCGAGAACCUUGGGAUCUCCAUGGAUCCAGAACUUUGAGGUCCCCAAUUCCCAGCAGGUUGAGAACUUUGGGAUCCUCCUGGAAUGAGAACUUUGGGAUCUCCAAUUCCCAAUGGAUCAGGAACUUUGGUAUCUCCAUGGAUCCAGAACUUUGGGAUCCACAAUUCCCAACGAAUCCAGAACUUGAGGAUCCUCCUGGAAUGAGAACGUUGGGAUCUCCAUGGACUGAGAAGUUUGGGAUCCCCAAUUCCCAAUGGAUCAAAAACUUUGGGAUCUCCAUGGAUCCAGAACUUUGGGAUUCCCCUGGGAUGAGAACUCUGGGAUCCCCAAUUCCCAACGGAUCAGGAACUUUGGGAUCCUCAAUUCCCAACAGGUUGAGAACUUUGGGAUCCUCCUGGAAUGAGAAGUUUUGGGAUCCCCAAUUCCCAACGAAUCGAGAACUUUGGGAUCUCCAUGGAUCCAGAACUUUGGGAUCCCCAAUUCCCACCCGAUCCCCAAACUUUGGGCUCCCCCAUUCCCCACCUCUCCCCCCUUUUCCCACAUUUUCUCCCCAUAUUUAAAAAUUUGGGAAUUCCCAUCCCCUUUUUUCCCCUCCCCCCCAUGGACAUUCUGCACUUUAUUCCAGGCUCUGGGAAUUCCGGGAUCGCCUUUUUUUUUUGGAUUUUUUUGGGAUCAUCCCACAAAAUUUUGGGAAUUUUUGGCCUCCCCUGAGAAAUCAGGAUGAGCCCUGCUGGAAAAACCCGGAGCUUUUAUGCAAAUCCCUCCACUCCCAUCCCAUUUUUUCCCCCCCACAAAAUUCCCAAUUUUUUUUUUCCCAGAAAAUUUGGGGUCAAAACAAUAAAAAAAAAAAUAGGAAAAAAAUCCCAUCAGGAUUGAAAUUCCCAACAAAAUUCCCAUUCCUGAAACGCUUUGGCUCAGGGGGGGAUUUUUUUUAGGGAAUCUCCUGAAUUUUUAGGGAAUUUUAACUCCUUGGAGGUCCUGAUGCUUUUAUUCCGAUUUUCCUGCUUUUAUCCCAAAUUUCCUGCUUUUAUCCCCAUUUUCCUGCUCUUUUUUUUCCCCUUUUUUUUCCCAUUUUUUUUCUUUCCCCCUGGCUAUGCAAGAGCUCCCCCCCCCGGGAUGGAAAUCCCAGAAAAAUCCUGGAAAAAUAAAAAAUUCCAUGGAAAAAAAAAAAUCCCGGGAAAGGCUCGGGGGAAAAAUCCCGGGAUUUGGGAAAAGCUUUGGGAUUCCCUGGAUAUGCAAAGAGGGCGCCAAUAAAUCUGUGGAAAAUGGGA